rnacentral:rRNA from 1 species
GACGAACGCUGGCGGCGUGCUUAACACAUGCAAGUCGAACGAUGAACCCGGAGCUUGCUCUGGGGGAUUAGUGGCGAACGGGUGAGUAACACGUGAGUAACCUGCCCUGGACUCUGGGAUAAGCGUUGGAAACGACGUCUAAUACCGGAUAGGACCUUGGAUCGCAUGAUCUGGGGUGGAAAGUUUUUUCGGUCUGGGAUGGACUCGCGGCCUAUCAGCUUGUUGGUGAGGUAAUGGCUCACCAAGGCGUCGACGGGUAGCCGGCCUGAGAGGGUGACCGGCCACACUGGGACUGAGACACGGCCCAGACUCCUACGGGAGGCAGCAGUGGGGAAUAUUGCACAAUGAGCGAAAGCCUGAUGCAGCAACGCCGCGUGCGGGAUGACGGCCGUCGGGUUGUAAACCGCUUUUAGUAGGGAAGAAGGGCUUCGGCUUGACGGUACCUGCAGAAAAAGGACCGGCUAACUACGUG